rnacentral:rRNA from 1 species
AGAGUUUGAUCCUGGCUCAGGACGAACGCUGGCGGCGUGCUUUACACAUGCAAGUCGAACGGAGAAGCACCUUCGGGUGUGGAUCAGUGGCGAACGGGUGAGUAACACGUGGGUAACCUGCCCCUCACUUCGGGAUAACUCCGGGAAACCGGGGCUAAUACUGGAUAUCACCAGACCGGGCAUCCGGACUGGUUGAAAGGGUUUACUGGUGAGGGAUGGACCCGCGGCCUAUCAGCUAGUUGGUGGGGUAAUGGCCUACCAAGGCGACGACGGGUAGCCGGCCUGAGAGGGCGACCGGCCACACUGGGACUGAGACACGGCCCAGACUCCUACGGGAGGCAGCAGUGGGGAAUAUUGCGCAAUGGACGAAAGUCUGACGCAGCAACGCCGCGUGAGGGAACGAAGGCCUUUGGGUUGUAAACCUCUUUCAGCAGGGACGAAGCGAAAGUGACGGUACCUGCAGAAGAAGCACCGGCUAACUACGUGCCAGCAGCCGCAGUAAUACGUAGGGUGCAAGCGUUGUCCGGAUUUAUUGGGCGUAAAGGGCUCGUAGGCGGUCUGUCGCGUCGGAAGUGAAAACCUGGAGCUCAACUCCAGGCCUGCUUUCGAUACGGGCAGACUAGAGUUCGGUAGGGGAGACUGGAAUUCCUGGUGUAGCGGUGGAAUGCGCAGAUAUCAGGAGGAACACCAAUGGCGAAGGCAGGUCUCUGGGCCGACACUGACGCUGAGGAGCGAAAGCGUGGGUAGCAAACAGGAUUAGAUACCCUGGUAGUCCACGCCGUAAACGGUGGGCGCUAGGUGUGGGGAACAAUCUACGUUUUCCGCGCCGCAGCUAACGCAUUAAGCGCCCCGCCUGGGGAGUACGGCCGCAAGGCUAAAAACUCAAAGGAAUUGACGGGGGCCCGCACAAGCGGCGGAGCAUGCGGCUUAAUUCGAUGCAACGCGAAGAACCUUACCUAGGCUUGACAUAUGACCAGAGCAUGCAGAGAUGUAUGUGCAUUUAGUUGGGGUCAUACAGGUGGUGCAUGGCUGUCGUCAGCUCGUGUCGUGAGAUGUUGGGUUAAGUCCCGCAACGAGCGCAACCCUCGUCCUAUGUUGCCAGCGGGUAAUGCCGGGGACUCAUAGGAGACCGCCGGGGUCAACUCGGAGGAAGGUGGGGACGACGUCAAGUCAUCAUGCCCCUUAUGUCUAGGGCUGCACGCAUGCUACAAUGGCCGGUACAAAGGGCUGCAAAAUCGUAAGAUUAAGCGAAUCCCAUAAAGCCGGUCUCAGUUCGGAUUGGGGUCUGCAACUCGACCCCAUGAAGUCGGAGUCGCUAGUAAUCGCAGAUCAGCAACGCUGCGGUGAAUACGUUCCCGGGCCUUGUACACACCGCCCGUCACGUCACGAAAGUCGGUAACACCCGAAGCCGGUGGCCUAACCC